GACGUAGGGCGCGAGCGUUGUCCGGAUUAUUGGGCGUAAAGAGCUCGUAGGCGGCUUGUCGCGUCGACUGUGAAAUCCCGCGGCUCAACCGCGGGUCUGCAGUCGAUACGGGCAGGCUAGAGUUCGGUAGGGGAGACUGGAAUUCCUGGUGUAGCGGUGAAAUGCGCAGAUAUCAGGAGGAACACCGGUGGCGAAGGCGGGUCUCUGGGCCGUAACUGACGCUGGAGGAGCGAA
rnacentral:rRNA from 1 species